UCGGGAAUUUUGGGCAAUGGGGGCAACCCUGACCCAGCAACGCCGCGUGAAGGAAGAAGUCCUUCGGGAUGUAAACUUCGUAACUAUAGGAAGAAACAAAUGACGGUACUAUAAGUAAGCCCCGGCUAACUCCGUGCCAGCAGCCGCGGUAAUACGGAGGGGGCAAGCGUUGUUCGGAUUUACUGGGCGUAAAGGGCGCGUAGGCGGCCGGAGAAGUCACUUGUGAAAUCUUGAAGCUCAACUUCAAGCGGCCAAGUGAUACUCUUCGGGCUAGAGUGCAGAAGGGGCAACUGGAAUUCUUGGUGUAGCGGUGAAAUGCGUAGAUAUCAAGAGGAACACCUGAGGCGAAGGCGGGUUGCUGGGCUGACACUGACGCUGAGGCGCGAAAGCUAGGGGAGCA
rnacentral:rRNA from 1 species